rnacentral:tRNA from 12 species
CCCGAGGUGGUGAAAUUGGUAGACGCGGUGGAUUCAAAAUCCACUAUCAGAGAUGAUGUGUCGGUUCGAGUCCGACCCCCGGGACCA